rnacentral:rRNA from 1 species
UACCCUGAACGGUGAAUCACUUGGCUCGUGGGUCGAUGAAGAACGCAGCUAAUUGCGCGUCAACUUGUGAACUGCAGGACACGUGAACAUUGACAUUUCGAACGCACAUUGCGGUCCACGGAUACGAUUCCCGGACCACGCCUAGCUGAGGGUCG